rnacentral:lncRNA from 1 species
UCUAAGGUGUGAGUCUACCCGUAAAAGACUGGCUCCUAAGCGAAGUAGCCUUAAAGCUUAGAGAGGUUUUUAAGAGUUCCUUGAUACUCUAAGGUACUAACUUACCCGUAAAAGUUAGAGGUUCUUAAGAGUGCCCUUGAUACUCUAAGGUGUGAGUCUACCCGUAAAAGACUGGUUCCUAAGCGAAGUAGCCUUAAAGCUUAGAGAGAUUUUUAAGAGUUCCUUGAUACUCUAAGGUACUAACUUACCCGUAAAAGUUAGAGGUUCUUAAGAGUGCCCUUGAUACUCUAAGGUGUGAGUCUACCCGUAAAAGACUGGUUCCUAAGCGAAGUACACUACAAAAAAAGGACCUUGUAUGGCGGCCUUUAGAUGGCGGAAAUCCGCCAUCUAUACUUCAAUAGUUUAGAUGGCGGAUGUCCGCCAUCUAUUCUUUCAGUCCGCCGAGGAAACGUUGUGGCUCGACGGCGGUUCGGAAUUUUUUUCGAUGGCGGUGUUUAGAUGGCGGAUUUCCGCCAUCUAAACUAUCCCGCCCAAAAUUUCAAUUUCCCCCCAAUUUCCAGCCCGAUUACCCGAUUAAAUUGACUUAAGAUGGCGGAAAUCCGCCAUCUUAAGUCUUCGGGGACUCGGGCGGAAAAAAGCCCGCCCAAAUUUCGAUUGGGCGGACUUUCACUUAAGUGCUGGCGGCACUUAAGUGUACUUACAUGGCGGAAAUCCGCCAUGUAAGUUUUGGGGUUUAUUAAAAACCCCAAAUUGACAGAACGCGUAUGUUCUGUCUUCUCGAAGUGUAAAUCGCCGCCGCUGCCUCCCUGCUGCCUGCUGCCCCCGUCGCUGCUCGCCGUCGUUCCUCGCCGUCGGUUCUUCCUCGCCGUCGUUCCUCUCUGUCGCCGCAUCCCGCCGCAUCCUCGCCGGUUAUCUUUGAAGGUAUCAAUUUAUUGUGGGUGUCUAGCUUUUCACUUUUGUGGGUUGCGUUUUUUUUACCAAUUGCUUCUCACUUUUGUUUUAUGAUCCAAUAUAUAUUUUUUUAAUUUAGCGAUCCAAUAUGUGUUGUUAUUUCAUCCAUUUGAUUUCAACUAUAAACCCAUUUUGAUGAUGUUGAUGUAUUUUCAGUAUGGAUGUCCAUUUCACGAUCACUCCAUUGUCAUCUUGGCAUGUGUUUUUUUUAGUACAAUCCUCUUUAUAUAAUAGAUUUUCUUUUUAAUUAGUUGAUAAUACACCACUAUUUCAUUAAGGUUUCCAACAUUAUUUCAUGAUUUUUUGCUAUUAGCUUUUUUUCUAAAAAGCCAUCAUGAACUGCAUCUCCAGCAUCCUACAAGCUUAAAAUUAUUUUGUUCUUUUCAACUUGUCAUAACAUUUGAUUAGCUCUACUGUUUCAAUCUACCUACAUGUUUCUUUUUUUACUAUCUUCCAAUGAAUGCAUGAUACUAAUACCUCCUACUUUUCCUUUGCCCCAUAUGAAAUUAACCGCCAUCAAUGAAUUGACGCCAAACUAUUCCCGCGCCAUAUUUUAGAUGGCGGAUUUCCGCCAUCUAAAACUUUUCAAUUCGCGCCAAAAUUUUCAGUUUAGAUGGCGGAAAUCCGCCAUCUAAACUAUUUUUGGUGGGAAAUGGGGAUGGAUAAUAGAUGGCGGUCUUUAGAUGGCGGUUUAUNNNNNNNNNNNNNNNNNNNNNNNNNNNNNNNNNNNNNNNNNNNNNNNNNNNNNNNNNNNNNNNNNNNNNNNNNNNNNNNNNNNNNNNNNNNNNNNNNNNNGGUGUCCAAGAUGGCGGGCUUUAGAUGGCGGAUUUCCGCCGACGAUCACUUUAGAUGGCGGAAAUCCGCCAUCUAAAGCCCGCCAUACAAGGUCGGAUUUCUUGUAGUGGUAGUUUAAAGCUUAGAGAGGUUCUUAAGAGUUUCCUUGAUACUCUAAGGUUUUGCCAUUACCUUUAGGCUAGUGAAUUCCGACAGUUGGUCGGGACUGGACUAGCCCGUGUUUGGGUGAACCAGUAUAAAUCUCUUGUGUUGUUCUCUGUUAAUUAUAGUUUUAUCUUUUGUUUAAAAAACAACACUUAAUUAAAAAGAUCCCUCUUCCAGUUAUCUGGUCAAACACAGAGGUUGACUACUUUACGCAGAUCCCUCAUCCAGUUAUCUGGUCAACUAUCUGAGGUUAUAUUCAUUGCUUUAAAUCUUUAUAUUUGUUCAAGUAUUACUUAUCAUAUUUAUCCAGUUAUCUGGUCACUUACUUGUUUAUCAACUUAUCCAGUUAUCUGGUCAUUUACUUGUUUAUCAAUAUAUCCAGUUAUCUGGUCAUU